rnacentral:rRNA from 1 species
UGCUCAGAUUGAACGCUGGCGGCAUGCUUUACACAUGCAAGUCGAACGGUAACAGGCCGCAAGGUGCUGACGAGUGGCGAACGGGUGAGUAAUGCAUCGGAACGUGCCCAGUCGUGGGGGAUAACGCAGCGAAAGCUGUGCUAAUACCGCAUACGAUCUAUGGAUGAAAGCGGGGGACCGUAAGGCCUCGCGCGAUUGGAGCGGCCGAUGUCAGAUUAGGUAGUUGGUGGGGUAAAGGCCCACCAAGCCAACGAUCUGUAGCUGGUCUGAGAGGACGACCAGCCACACUGGAACUGAGACACGGUCCAGACUCCUACGGGAGGCAGCAGUGGGGAAUUUUGGACAAUGGGCGCAAGCCUGAUCCAGCAAUGCCGCGUGCAGGAAGAAGGCCUUCGGGUUGUAAACUGCUUUUGUACGGAACGAAACGGUCUGGGUUAAUACCCUGGGCUAAUGACGGUACCGUAAGAAUAAGCACCGGCUAACUACGUGCCAGCAGCCGCGGUAAUACGUAGGGUGCAAGCGUUAAUCGGAAUUACUGGGCGUAAAGCGUGCGCAGGCGGUUUUGUAAGACAGUCGUGAAAUCCCCGGGCUCAACCUGGGAAUUGCGAUUGUGACUGCAAAGCUGGAGUGCGGCAGAGGGGGAUGGAAUUCCGCGUGUAGCAGUGAAAUGCGUAGAUAUGCGGAGGAACACCGAUGGCG